rnacentral:rRNA from 1 species
AAUGAACGCUGGCGGCAUGCCUAACACAUGCAAGUCGAACGAAGGCUUCGGCCUUAGUGGCGCACGGGUGCGUAACGCGUGGGAAUCUGCCCCUUGGUUCGGAAUAACAGUUAGAAAUGACUGCUAAUACCGUAUGAUGACGUAAGUCCAAAGAUUUAUCGCCGAGGGAUGAGCCCGCGUAGGAUUAGCUAGUUGGUGUGGUAAGAGCGCACCAAGGCGACGAUCCUUAGCUGGUCUGAGAGGAUGAUCAGCCACACUGGGACUGAGACACGGCCCAGACUCCUACGGGAGGCAGCAGUGGGGAAUAUUGGACAAUGGGCGAAAGCCUGAUCCAGCAAUGCCGCGUGAGUGAUGAAGGCCUUAGGGUUGUAAAGCUCUUUUACCCGGGAUGAUAAUGACAGUACCGGGAGAAUAAGCUCCGGCUAACUCCGUG